UGCUUUAUUUAAAGCAUUAAUAUUUCCAUUUUAUGACAAGAAGAUUAGCAUGGCCCCUGUGCAAGGAUGACACAAACAAAUAGAGACAAGAAAAGGGAAAAGAUAUGAAUCUUUUU
rnacentral:snRNA from 1 species